GCCCUGGUGGUGAAAUCGGUAGACACAAGGGAUUUAAAAUCCCUCGACUUUCGGGUCGUGCCGGUUCAAGUCCGGCCCGGGGCACCA
rnacentral:tRNA from 1 species